rnacentral:sRNA from 1 species
CUAUCCAGUAAAGAAUACCCAUAGAGUAGUAGCCUUGCCACCUUUUGAAGAACCAUAGAUCCAUGUUUAAAGCCCUAUCUCUCUGCAGCAUUUUUACUGUGGAUCUGUGUGUGUUUAUAUGUAGCCCCGCAGGCACUUUUUGCUGUGAUGACUUUUAAGUGGUUUCUAUUAAUAAAUGUAGUCCUAAGUACAAUAAUUGCUGUUCUGAAUGUGGGUGUGUCUUCUGCUAAAACACAAAAUGCCAACAAUCAAUUUCUCUACCCCAGAGCAGCCUCCGGGUGACACUCGGAGAAAAACCAAUGAUGCGAGCUCAGAGUCAAUAGCAUCCUUCUCUAAACAGGAGGUCAUGAGUAGCUUUCUGCCAGAGGGAGGGUGUUACGAGCUGCUCACUGUGAUAGGCAAAGGAUUUGAGGACCUGAUGACUGUGAAUCUAGCAAGGUACAAACCAACAGGAGAGUACGUGACUGUACGGAGGAUUAACCUAGAAGCUUGUUCCAAUGAGAUGGUAACAUUCUUGCAGGGCGAGCUGCAUGUCUCCAAACUCUUCAACCAUCCCAAUAUCAUGCCAUAUCGAGCCACUUUUAUUGCAGACAAUGAGCUGUGGGUUGUCACAUCAUUCAUGGCAUACGGUGAGUGGGAAAGGGUUCUUGGUAGAAAGGGGUUAUUGGGACUCUGUUGUCAGAUUGCCUGUGUUUUCCUCCUCCAUUACCUUUCACUGCCUCCAUGCAAUCCUUUUCUGCAGGUUCUGCAAAAGAUCUCAUCUGUACACACUUCAUGGAUGGCAUGAAUGAGCUGGCGAUUGCUUACAUCCUGCAGGGGGUGCUGAAGGCCCUCGACUACAUCCACCACAUGGGAUAUGUACACAGGAGUGUCAAAGCCAGCCACAUCCUGAUCUCUGUGGAUGGGAAGGUCUACCUGUCUGGUUUGCGCAGCAACCUCAGCAUGAUAAGCCACGGGCAGCGGCAGCGAGUGGUCCACGAUUUUCCCAAGUACAGUGUCAAGGUUCUGCCGUGGCUCAGCCCCGAGGUCCUCCAGCAGAAUCUCCAGGGUUAUGAUGCCAAGUCUGACAUCUACAG